AUAAGAAGUGGAGAAUCUAUACCCUCUACUUACCUAACAGAGGGACGAGGGCUCUCUCUCUCCACUUCACCACCGGAUACUGUAUGGAAAAAAACUAAAGAUUUCUUAUCCCGAACUUAGGACAAGUAUCCGGGCAAUUGUUCGAAUACUUCUCCUGUUGUUCUGUUUCCUUUCCUCCCUUUCCUUAAAGCUGAAAUUCCGGGAAACCGGAUUUCAGAGUAUAGGAAUAUUCUCCCUGAGGGGGACGAGGCCGUAGGCCGAAGGGGGGUAAGAAUAUCCUAUAAAAGAUAGGAAGGGGAGGGGGUUCGGGGGAGGGGAAACCUUCCCUUCC
rnacentral:lncRNA from 1 species